AGAAUCAACGCUGGCGGCGUGCCUAACACAUGCAAGUCGAACGAGAAAGUGGAGCAAUCCAUGAGUAAAGUGGCGACCGGGUGAGUAACACGUGACUAACCUACCUUCAAGUGGGGGAUAACCUCGGGAAACCGGGCUAAUACCGCAUAACAUCUUUGGAGUGGAAAUUCUGGAGAUCAAAGGAGCAAUUCGCUGGAAGAGGGGGUCGCGGCUGAUUAGCUAGUUGGCGGGUAAUGGCCCACCAAGGCUUUGAUCGGUA
rnacentral:rRNA from 1 species